ACUAACUCUAGCCCUGACACUAAUCAACAUAACUAUAUCUCUACAUAAACUAAAACAUUUAACCUAAUAAAAGUAUUGGAGAAAGAAAUUAUACCCAGGAGCUAUAGAAAAAGUACCGUAAGGGAAAGAUGAAAGAUUGAUUUAAAGUACUAAAAAGCAAAGAUAAAACCUUAUACCUUUUGCAUAAUGAAUUAACUAGAACAAAUCUAACUUAAAGAAUUAUAGCUAGAAAUCCCGAAACCAAACGAGCUACCUAAAAACAAUUUUUAUGAAUCAACCCGUCUAUGUAGCAAAAUAGUGGGAAGAUUUUUAGGUAGAGGUGAAAAGCCUAACGAGCUUGGUGAUAGCUGGUUACCCAAAAAAUGAAUUUUAGUUCAACUUUAAAUUUGUUGUAAGAAUACAAAAAUCUGAAUAUAAAUUUAAAAUAUAGCCAAAAGAGGGACAGCUCUUUAGGAAUGGAAAAAACCUUAAAUAGUGAAUAAGCUAAUAUUUUUCAUAACCAUUGUAGGCCUAAAAGCAGCCACCAAUAAAGAAAGCGUUCAAGCUCAACAUAAAAAAAAUUCUAAUUCAACAAUUCACAACAAAUUCCUAUUCUAAAAAUUGGGUUAAUCUAUUAUCCUAUAGAUGAAACACUGUUAAUAUGAGUAACAAGAAUCAUAAUUCUCCAAGCACAAGCAUAUAACAACCCGAAUAAUCAUUGUUAGUUACAGGACUUUAGAUAUAAAUUCUCAAAUGAAUCAUCUAAAACUUAACCCGUUAACCCAACACAGGAGUGCUUUAAGGAAAGAUAAAAAAGAAUAAAAGGAACUCGGCAAACACAAACCCCGCCUGUUUACCAAAAACAUCACCUCUAGCAUAUCAAGUAUUAGAGGCAUUGCCUGCCCAGUGACUAAAAGGUUAAACGGCCGCGGUAUCCUGACCGUGCAAAGGUAGCAUAAUCAUUUGUUCCUUAAUUAGGGACUAGUAUGAAUGGCUAAACGAGGGUUUAACUGUCUCUUAUUCUAUAUCAGUGAAAUUGACCUUCCAGUGAAGAGGCUGGAAUUCCACAAUAAGACGAGAAGACCCUAUGGAGCUUAAAUCAAUUAACUUAAUUAUUAAUUCAAACAGCCUAUUGGCCUAAAAAUAAAAAUAUAAGUUAAAAAUUUCGGUUGGGGUGACCUCGGAGAACAAAAAAUCCUCCGAAUGAUUCUAGCACAGACCAACAAGUCAAAACAAUCUUUAAAAUCUCAUUGACCCAAAAAAUCUUUGAUCAACGGACCAAGUUACCCUAGGGAUAACAGCGCAAUCCUAUUUGAGAGUUCAUAUCGACAAUUAGGGUUUACGACCUCGAUGUUGGAUCAGGACAUCCCAAUGGUGCAGAAGCUAUUAAUGGUUCGUUUGUUCAACGAUUAAAGUCCUACGUGAUCUGAGUUCAGACCGGAGUAAUCCAGGUCGGUUUCUAUCUAUUUACAAUUUCUCCCAGUACGAAAGGACAAGAGAAAUAGAGCUACCUUUCCAAAAGUGCUCUUAACCUAAUUUAUGAAUAAAUCUUAAUACAAAAUAAAUGUUCAACUCUUAACCUAGACAAGGUUU
rnacentral:rRNA from 1 species